AAGGUAGCAUAAUCAUUUGCCUCUUAAUUAGUGGCUAGUAUGAAUGGACAAACGAGAAUUCCCCUGUCUCUAUAAAGCCAAUGAAAAUUAAUCUUCAGGUGAAGAAGCCUGAAUCUCAUUAAAAGACAAAAAGACCCUAUUGAGCUUACAUUCAAUCUCUAAAAUAUUAAAAUAAAAUAAAACUACCCUUUUUACAAGAAUUUUGCUGGGGCGGCAAAGGAACAACCAAAAAUUCCUUUUCUCAAAGACUUAUAAGUCUAUUAACUGAUCCGUAUUAACGAUUAACAAAACUAGUUACCAUAGGGAUAACAGGCUAAUUUUUCUCUAAAGCUCACAUUAACAGAAAAGAUUGGCACCUCGAUGUUGGCUUAGGAUAUCCUAAGGGCGCAGAAGCCUUUUAAGGUGGGUUUGUUCAACCUUUAAAAUCCUACGUGA
rnacentral:rRNA from 1 species